rnacentral:rRNA from 1 species
AUAUUGCACAAUGGGCGGAAGCCUGAUGCAGCAACGCCGCGUGAGGGAUGACGGCCUUCGGGUUGUAAACCUCUCUUAGCAGGGAAGAAGCGAAAGUGACGGUACCUGCAGAAAAAGCGCCGGCUAACUACGUGCCAGCAGCCGCGGUAAUACGUAGGGCGCAAGCGUUAUCCGGAAUUAUUGGGCGUAAAGAGCUCGUAGUCGGUUUGUCGCGUCUGCUGUGAAAUCCCGAGGCUCAACCUCGGGCCUGCA